rnacentral:rRNA from 1 species
UACGGAGGGGGCAAGCGUUGUUCGGAAUACUGGGCGUAAAGGGCGCGCAGGCGGCUGCUCAAGUCAGGCGUGAAAGGCCUGGGCUCAACCUGGGAAUUGCGCUUGAGACUGGGCUGGCUUGAGUGCGGGAGAGGAUGGUGGAAUUCCCAGUGUAGAGGUGAAAUUCGUAGAUAUUCGCAAGAACACCAGUGGCGAAGGCGGCUCACUGGCCCGGUACUGACGCUGAGGCACGAAAGCGUGGGGAGCAAACAGG